GACAGAGGAUGCAAGCGUUAUCCGGAAUGAUUGGGCGUAAAGCGUCUGUAGGUGGCUUUUUAAGUCUGCCGUCAAAUCCCAGGGCUUAACCCUGGACAGGCGGUGGAAACUACCAAGCUGGAGUACGGUAGGGGCAGAGGGAAUUUCCGGUGGAGCGGUGAAAUGCGUAGAGAUCGGAAAGAACACCAACGGCGAAGGCGGCGCUCUGGGCCGGUACUGACACUGAGGAGCGAAAGCGUGGGUAGCAAACAGG
rnacentral:rRNA from 1 species